rnacentral:ribozyme from 1 species
AGCAAUACCUCGCUGGUACGGGAUCCGAAGCCUCUAGAAGAUUAUCAUAGGCUCUCCACCCCCUACCCUUACUCAAUACGUCCACGUCGUACAGAACGGUAACAUGUCUCUCUAUUAUCCAAGCUUGGGUAUACGGGGAAACCCAACCCCUAGAGCGGAUGGGUUGCAUGGCUAAAUUGAGAGGA